rnacentral:rRNA from 1 species
AUUGAACGCUGGCGGCAGGCCUAACACAUGCAAGUCGAGCGGAUGAAGGGAGCUUGCUCCUGGCUUCAGCGGCGGACGGGUGAGUAAUGCAUAGGUAUCUGCCUGGUCGAGGGGGCUAACGUAAGGUCACGGGCGCUAAUCCCGCAUACGUCCUGAGGGAGAACGUGGGGGAUCUUCGGACCUCACGCUAUCAGAUGAGACUAGGUCGGAUUAGCUAGUUGGUGGGGUAAAGGCCUACCAAGGCGACGAUCCGUAACUGGUCUGAGAGGAUGAUCAGUCACACUGGAACUGAGACACGGUCCAGACUCCUACGGGAGGCAGCAGUGGGGAAUAUUGGGCAAUGGGCGAAAGCCUGAUCCAGCCAUGCCGCGUGUGUGAAGAAGGUCUUCGGAUUGUAAAGCUCUGUAAUUUGGGAGGAAGAGCAGUAAGUGAAUACCUGGCUGUUUUGACGGUACCAACAGAAUAAGCACCGGCUAACUUCGUG